GAACCAUCUCACCGCCUCGGUUCUCAAGCUCCGAAGCAGGUAAGUCAUGGUUAAAUAUAACAAUGUCGUGCCAAAUGGGCACUUCAAAAAGCACUGGCAAAAUUACGUCAAGACCUGGUUCAUCCAGCCUGCGAGAAAAGCUAGAAGACGCUUAGCUCGGCUAAAGAAGGCUGUGAAGAUUUUCCCGAGGCCAAUAGCGGGUCCACUCUGACCAGUUGUUCGUGGUCAAACCCUGAAGUAUAAUAUGAAGGUCAAACC